CCCUAAUCCCUCCAAGUGGUAAGCCUGCGUGAGACUAGCCUUAAUAGGAUAUGGAUCAAAGCAUGACUGGGUGAAAUCACCCUUAGCUUAAUGCAAGUUUUAGAUACGGUGACGGAGCCAAUUCAUUGGCCAUACUGAUAAUUGCUCAGAUGACGCCUUGUCUCUUUGUAUAUAAAUUUGCUCUCCGAGGCAUGGAUACCAUUAUCCCAACGACACCUGCAGACCUUUUCAUGAUCAUCAGAAUGCAGGCACCAUUAUCAUCAACAGGAAGUCAAGAAUGUGUAUGAUCUAUCUUCUUUGGUGGUCUUCUUGAUGCUAAAAUAUCCUAGUGCCAUUGCAGGAAGCGAUACAAGGGACAGUGUGAGUGCGGUCAUACUUGUUCCAAGUGUGAGCAGAUGCUGGACCGAGUCACCAUAACUCAAAACUAUGUGUGCUUAUGGAGAUGUGUGAGUGUAUCUCUGGAUGUUUAACUUAUGCUAACGUAAGUCUAAGUGCGAAUGUGGUUUCUACCCGAUGAAGCAUGAGAAUGGGCACUGUUUCUUGUGUGAUCACUUGGAAUGUAAACUAUGCACUUUCAUGACUAGGCACAAGGAUGGAAAGGAGUAAUUUGAGGGCCAAGCUCUAUCACAGCCUAUCAGAUUCUCAGAUAUCCACAGACAACUCACACCCAAAUAUCCAAGUGGAGACUAGCUUCCUCGUAUCUCGGCUGUCUUAAAUAUAAGAUGGCGUCGGCUGUCAUUCCUAUUCUCAACAUCAACACACUGCAAACUAUCCCGAUGUCACCCGAAGCAAAUACAAGUAAAGAAGCUCAAGAAGCUCGAUUAUUUCGAAAAUGUUCUUACAAAGAAAAAUGCGAUUGCGGCCACGCGUGUCCGAAAUGUUGCCUUGCAUCCCAGCUCUGGUGGAUAUGUUGCAACUGCCUUUAUUUUCGUAUGCCCAAACAGACGACACAUUGUCCGAGUUGUGAACAUAAACCUUGCACGAAAUGCCCGCU
rnacentral:lncRNA from 1 species